UACGUAGGGUGCGAGCGUUGUCCGGAAUUACUGGGCGUAAAGAGCUCGUAGGUGGUUUGUCGCGUUGUCCGUGAAAACUCACAGCUUAACUGUGGGCGUGCGGGCGAUACGGGCAGACUGGAGUACUGCAGGGGAGACUGGAAUUCCUGGUGUAGCGGUGGAAUGCGCAGAUAUCAGGAAGAACACCCGUGGCGAAGGCGGCUCUCUGGGACGGUACUGGACGCUGAAGACGCGAAAGCGUGGGGAGCGAACAGG
rnacentral:rRNA from 1 species